UACGUAGGGACCAAGCGUUGUUCGGAUUUACUGGGCGUAAAGGGCGCGUAGGCGGGUGCUCAAGUCCGGGGUGAAAUCCUCCAGCUCAACUGGAGAACUGCCUCGGAUACUGGGUGUCUCGAGUGUGGUAGGGGUAUGCGGAACUAUCGGUGGAGCGGUGAAAUGCGUUGAUAUCGAUAGGAACUCCGGUGGCGAAGGCGGCAUACUGGACCACUACUGACGCUGAUGCGCGAAAGCCAGGGGAGCAAACGGG
rnacentral:rRNA from 1 species